rnacentral:rRNA from 1 species
UACGAAGGGGGCUAGCGUUGUUCGGAAUCACUGGGCGUAAAGGGCGCGUAGGCGGCUUUGUAAGUCGGGGGUGAAAGCCUGUGGCUCAACCACAGAAUUGCCUUCGAUACUGUAGAGCUUGAGACCGGAAGAGGUUAGUGGAACUGCGAGUGUAGAGGUGAAAUUCGUAGAUAUUCGCAAGAACACCAGUGGCGAAGGCGGCUGACUGGUCCGGUUCUGACGCUGAGGCGCGAAAGCGUGGGGAGCAAACAGG